GAAAAAUAACGAUACGGGACUCAUCCGAGGCCCCGUAAUCGGAAUGAGUACACUUUAAAUCCUUUAAUAAGUAUCAAUUGGAGGGCAAGUCUGGUGCCAGCAGCCGCGGUAAUUCCAGCUCCAAUAGCGUAUAUUAAAGUUGUUGCGGUUAAAAAGCUCGUAGUUGGACUUGUGUCCCACGCUGUCGGUUCACCGCCCGUCGGUGUUUAACUGACAUGUAUCGUGGGACGUCCUGCCGGUGGUGGCGAGUCGAAAGAUCGCGCCCCUGUGGUUUACACCAUAGGUAGGUUGCGGUUCGUAGGCGGACCCCGAUCAAAUCCUACCGCGGUGCUCUUAAACGAGUGUCGAGGUGGGCCGGCACGUUUACUUUGAACAAAUUAGAGUGCUUAAAGCAGGCCUGAUGCGCCUGAAUACUGUGUGCAUGGAAUAAUGGAAUAGGACCUCGGUUCUAUUUUGUUGGUUUUCGGAACCCGAGGUAAUGAUUAAUAGGGACAGUCGGGGGCAUUCGUAUUGCGACGUUAGAGGUGAAAUUCUUGGAUCGUCGCAAGACGGACCGAAGCGAAAGCAUUUGCCAAGUAUGUUUUCAUUAAUCAAGAACGAAAGUUAGAGGUUCGAAGGCGAUCAGAUACCGCCCUAGUUCUAACCAUAAACGAUGCCAGCUAGCGAUCCGCCGAAGUUCCUCCGAUGACUCGGCGGGCAGCUCCCGGGAAACCAAAGCUUUUGGGUUCCGGGGGAAGUAUGGUUGCAAAGCUGAAACUUAAAGGAAUUGACGGAAGGGCACCACCAGGAGUGGAGCCUGCGGCUUAAUUUGACUCAACACGGGAAACCUCACCAGGCCCGGACACUGGAAGGAUUGACAGAUUGAGAGCUCUUUCUUGAUUCAGUGGGUGGUGGUGCAUGGCCGUUCUUAGUUGGUGGAGCGAUUUGUCUGGUUAAUUCCGAUAACGAACGAGACUCUAGCCUGCUAAAUAGUCGCAUCCGGUAU
rnacentral:rRNA from 1 species